AUGGGGAGAGAGAUUCCCAUUCGUCGCGGGGCUGGUAGGCACUGUUCUGUUCAGGUCGUGGGCGACGUAUUCCUGGGAUCCUUCCCCACGAAGGCAACGCUGCAUCGACCCAGAUGCCGGCCUCCCUCGCCCCCAACCCAACCCCCGCCGGCGACCUUCGUCUCCCCCAGCCCAAUCCUACCCCGCUCUCCUCUCUCCCUACGCCCCUACCUUCCUCCCUCCUUGAUGGAGUCCGAAACUCUAGCUCAUCUGUUCCAUGGUUCCGGCCAUGGAUGGGAAGACCACGGACGCGGCAGCCGCCGUCCCACCCCGCACCUAUUCCGGCGAUGA
rnacentral:rRNA from 1 species